CAACACAAGCGCCCAAAGAGAUAAAUGUGCCGUAAAACAUGAAGCUUUUCACUCCUCUAAAAGACCUUCUGUUGAUGUAUUUAAUGUUUCAUAACUAAAUGAGAAGACGGACGUUUAGUGGCUGAUUCUGAUCUUCUGAUUCCAGCUCUAACGCACUGGAUCUGGCGCUUUGCAUCGGCUGGACCUGAACCGCUGCUUCACCAGAUCCACCAGGUUCUCUGGUUUCUAUGGAAGCCCAAAAGCCGACUGAUCUCAUGCUGAGCUGGAGGAACAUCACAGCGAUGCGGUCCGGACCCGGAUACCUGUGGUGGAGCCAACGAUGGCCGUGUUCUGGUCCACGGCCUCCAGGAAC